rnacentral:rRNA from 1 species
GAUGAACGCUGGCGGCGUGCCUAAUACAUGCAAGUCGAGCGAACGGACGAGAAGCUUGCUUCUCUGAUGUUAGCGGCGGACGGGUGAGUAACACGUGGAUAACCUACCUAUAAGACUGGGAUAACUUCGGGAAACCGGAGCUAAUACCGGAUAAUAUUUUGAACCGCAUGGUUCAAAAGUGAAAGACGGUCUUGCUGUCACUUAUAGAUGGAUCCGCGCUGCAUUAGCUAGUUGGUAAGGUAACGGCUUACCAAGGCAACGAUGCAUAGCCGACCUGAGAGGGUGAUCGGCCACACUGGAACUGAGACACGGUCCAGACUCCUACGGGAGGCAGCAGUAGGGAAUCUUCCGCAAUGGGCGAAAGCCUGACGGAGCAACGCCGCGUGAGUGAUGAAGGUCUUCGGAUCGUAAAACUCUGUUAUUAGGGAAGAACAUAUGUGUAAGUAACUGUGCACAUCUUGACGGUACCUAAUCAGAAAGCCACGGCUAACUACGUGCCAGCAGCCGCGGUAAUACGUAGGUGGCAAGCGUUAUCCGGAAUUAUUAGGCGUAAAGCGCGCGUAGGCGGUUUUUUAAGUCUGAUGUGAAAGCCCACGGCUCAACCGUGGAGGGUCAUUGGAAACUGGAAAACUUGAGUGCAGAAGAGGAAAGUGGAAUUCCAUGUGUAGCGGUGAAAUGCGCAGAGAUAUGGAGGAACACCAGUGGCGAAGGCGACUUUCUGGUCUGUAACUGACGCUGAUGUGCGAAAGCGUGGGGAUCAAACAGGAUUAGAUACCCUGGUAGUCCACGCCGUAAACGAUGAGUGCUAAGUGUUAGGGGGUUUCCGCCCCUUAGUGCUGCAGCUAACGCAUUAAGCACUCCGCCUGGGGAGUACGACCGCAAGGUUGAAACUCAAAGGAAUUGACGGGGACCCGCACAAGCGGUGGAGCAUGUGGUUUAAUUCGAAGCAACGCGAAGAACCUUACCAAAUCUUGACAUCCUUUGACAACUCUAGAGAUAGAGCUUUCCCCUUCGGGGGACAAAGUGACAGGUGGUGCAUGGUUGUCGUCAGCUCGUGUCGUGAGAUGUUGGGUUAAGUCCCGCAACGAGCGCAACCCUUAAGCUUAGUUGCCAUCAUUAAGUUGGGCACUCUAAGUUGACUGCCGGUGACAAACCGGAGGAAGGUGGGGAUGACGUCAAAUCAUCAUGCCCCUUAUGAUUUGGGCUACACACGUGCUACAAUGGACAAUACAAAGGGCAGCGAAACCGCGAGGUCAAGCAAAUCCCAUAAAGUUGUUCUCAGUUCGGAUUGUAGUCUGCAACUCGACUACAUGAAGCUGGAAUCGCUAGUAAUCGUAGAUCAGCAUGCUACGGUGAAUACGUUCCCGGGUCU